rnacentral:rRNA from 1 species
GACAGAGGGGGCAAGCGUUGUCCGGACUGACUGGGCGUAAAGCGCGCGCAGGCGGACGCGGGCGUCGGUGCUGAAACCCCACCGCUUAACGGUGGGCGGCGUGCCGAUACGCCGCGUCUGGAGCGCGGGCGAGGGUGGUGGAAUUGCCGGUGUAGUGGUGAAAUGCGUAGAGAUCGGCAGGAACACCCGUGGCGGAAGCGGCCACCUAGCCCGUUGCUGACGCUGAGGCGCGAAAGCUAGGGGAGCAAACGGG